rnacentral:rRNA from 1 species
UACGGACGGGGCAAGCGUUGUUCGGAAUCAUUGGGCGUAAAGGGCGCGUAGGUGGCUCUGUAUGUCUACCGUGAAAGCAUACAGCUCAACUGUAUUUUGUCGGUAGAAACUGCAGGACUUGAGGCUGGGAGGGGCUGGUGGAAUUCCCUGUGUAGCGGUGAAAUGCGUAGAGAUGGGGGAGAACACUCGUGGCGAAGGCGGCCAGCUAGACCAGUUCUGACACUGAGGCGCGACAGCGUGGGGAGCAAACAGG